AUGAAAAAAUUAGUAUUUAUAACUAUAAGUUUUUUAGGAAUUCGGCAAAUCAUAAUUUCAAUAGUUUAUCAAAAACAUAGUUUUAUGUAUUUAUAUAAAAUAUUUUCUGCCCAAUGUUUUUAAAAAAUCAAUGGCCGCAGUACCUUGACUGUGCUAAGGUAGCAUAAUCAAUUGGCUUUUAAUUAAGGUCUAGAAUGAAUGGGAUAAUGAAGUUAAUCUGUCUUAGUUGCUUUUAUUAAAAUUUAUUUAAAAGGUGAAAAUACCUUUUUUAAAAAUAAAGACGAGAAGACCCUUAGAAUUUUUAUUAUUUUUUUUUGUUGGGGCGACAGUUUAAAAUAUAAUCUUAAAUUUAUUGUAUAUAUAACGAUUUUUUUAAUAAAAAUUAAAUUACCUUAGGGAUAACAGCAUAAUUAAUUAUUUAGUUUGUGACCUCGAUGUUGGACUAGGAACUAUAUGGCUAACCGUCUAAUUAGAUUUGUUCUGUUCGAACAAUUUUAUCCUACAUGAUCUGAGUUCAGACCGGCGCAAGCCAGGUCAGUUUCUAUCUUAUUUUAUUCUAAUUGUAGUACGAAAGGAUCUAAUUGGUUUUUUUUCUU
rnacentral:rRNA from 1 species